rnacentral:rRNA from 1 species
GCUGUGCGGCCAGCGGCAUUGUCAGUUCGUACCUUGAGUAAUUCGUCUGGUUCGUUUAAUUAUUACCACCUCUCUCCCCGUCAUUAUACAUUGAGUUCCCGUCGGUGCGCCAUGCCGCUAUGUGAGGUGUGCACCUCGUCUCCUUCUCAGUGGCUCUUGUUCUUCACCGAGCGUAAAGAGGAGAGACUAGACGUGUAUAGACGUAGCGAUCGAGGACGAUGAGGGUAGCCGGUUUUUACCGCCGGCUACCGCGAGUUGUUGGCGACGAUGGGCCGCCGCCGCCGCCGCCGCUCGGUCGACUACGGUAGGCUGCCUUCGGCGGCCUGCCCCACUUCUCCAAAGCCGCGACGGCAUGCCGCGGAAGGAGGCUGGGACGACGACGCAGCCUUCUCGAAGUAGGAGGAUGAGGGGGGCCGUUGCGGUCAGUCUGGCGAAGCGAGUUCUUUCACGAGCUCUCGCCGGCGGGCUCGGGCUCGAAGGCGGACCACCCGGACGAGGAGGACCGGAUGCAACAGCGGCCGUGGUGGCAGAAGAUGGAGAAGUACCUGGUGUACAGGCCCGUGGCGUCGCCGUCGGCGCAAUAGCUGCGCGAGAUGAAGACGCACCACUGGUACUGGUGGCAGCCGAUGCCGCUGGAGCAGGGCAGGUCGCUGUGGUCGUUCGACGACCGGUCGCGCAAGCGGAAGCCGCCGCAGCGGCACCACCCGUGGAGCGAGUCGUUCAGGCGGCUGAUGGACCAGCUCUUCGUCCUCAGCGAGCAGAAGGCGCGCCAGGUGCGGCGGUUGAAACCGUUCGUGGGCCGCGCCCUCGACGCGCGGUACCUCUACUUGUCCUGCACCAUGUUCGACAUGCGCCGGCCCCGCGACGACCGCCGCAGCCACCGCAGCCCCUGCCACCACGACACCUUCCCCCUCCCCUACGCCGGGCACCUGCGGGACAUGACGCACACGCGCUGCCACUGGUGAGAGCCCAUGCCGCUGGCCUCGAAGUACAGCAGCCGGCCCGCGCGCAAGCGCCGCCACACCCAGUGGCACUCGUGCCACCACCACCGCGAGAAGAAGGACAUGCACCGCCUCGACAUGCGCCUCGCCGCCGUCUCCCGCGACCGCGCAACCCACGACUGCGCCGCCUGCUGGUUGUGACUGGAGCUCCGCCGGCUGGACCUGCCGCUGGCCGCGCAGCCCCGCCGCCUCAAGCACGACAUGUUCGAGUUCCUCGAGCCCUUCUAGUCGGUCCUCCUCUAGCGGCUCAAGUACCUCCUCAAGCUGCUCGAGCUGCGGCUGGUGUUGCCGUGCGACAGCGGGAGACUGGAGCGGCAGCGCGUCCGGUGACGAACUAAUCAACCUGGUAAAGGAACCGUGAAUAAAAACUAAAAAACCCUCGGCUGUCUCUCGAGUGACAGCUUCUGCAGGUUUGACCACACAUAAAAGUCAACAUAUUUGCACGCCUCAGGUUUUACCUUGCGCCCCUUGGCCCCUUCAUACGACCGCGGGCCCGCCGUCUCACGCCAUGACGUCACCAUAAAAAAAAAAGGAAAGUAGAAUAAGAUCAAGAAAGUAAAAGUUAAUGGAAAGAUAAACGAAAGAUAAAUUAAAAUAUAGUAAAUCGUCAUCGCUCAAAUCUUCUUUUGCGCGACGAUGUUUCCUUCAUCGCCAUCGCGCCAAGUUAUACUUAGCGAAGAUGAUACACAUCGGAUGGCCGAUUCGGCACCCUUAAUAUCACCAUAGCGAACAAACACUUGUACGCGAUGACGAUUACAAACUCGAUAUCGGGCGAAACGUACUUGCGCGAUGAUGUUUAAUCGUCACCGCGAGAUAAAAUUGGUCGCGAUGACGAUAUGGAGACACAUAUCCGAAAAAGGAUCAUCACAGUUGAACAGUACCUACCGACGAUCAAGAUAUAUAGUAAGGGGGAUUGCAUGUUUGACUCGAGAACCAUAGAACGAACUCUACGGGUAAGGGAAACGUUUGCGGGUUUACGAGUUAGAUAAUUCCGGUUUGAGCCUACCAAGAGAAAUACCUGUUUCGGUUUGAAUAGACGAAUAAGUCAGGAGAUGUUAACCAAUUCGGUAGUCUAUUGAAAGAGGUAUUUCUUUCUAUAACUGGACUUUUACUACACACCUGAUUAAGUAG